rnacentral:rRNA from 1 species
GACGAACGCUGGCGGCGUGCUUAACACAUGCAAGUCGAACGGAAAGGCUCGAGCUUGCUGCCGUACUCGAGUGGCGAACGGGUGAGUAAAACGUGGGUAAACUGCCCUGCACUCUGGGAUAAGACUGGGGAACUGGGUCUCAUACUGGGUAUGACCUUUCUCCCUAUGGGGUUUGGUGGAAAGUGUCUCGGUGUAGGAUGGGCACGCGGCCUAUCAGCUUGUUGGUGGGGUGAUGGACUACCAAGGCGACGAAGGGUAGCCGACCGGAGAGGGCGAUCGGGCACAUUGGGACUAAGAGACGGCGCAGACGCCUACGGGAGGCAGCAGUGGAAAAUAUUGCACAAUGGGCGGAAGCCUGAUGCAGCGACGCCGCGUGAGGGAAGACGUCCUUCGAGUUGUAAACCUCUGUCUACGGAGACGUAGCCUAAUUGACGGUACCUGCAGAAGAAGCACCGGCUAACUAUGUG